rnacentral:rRNA from 1 species
UACGGAGGGGGCUAGCGUUGUUCGGAAUUACUGGGCGUAAAGCGCGCGUAGGCGGACCUGCAAGUCGGGGGUGAAAGCCCGGAGGCUCAACCUCGGAACUGCCUUCGAUACUGCGGGUCUCGAGUCCGGGAGAGGUGAGUGGAAUUCCUAGUGUAGAGGUGAAAUUCGUAGAUAUUAAGGAAGAACACCAGUGGCGAAGGCGGCUC